rnacentral:tRNA from 1 species
GGUUUCAUAGUGUAGCAGUUAGCACGUCUGCUUUACAUACAGAAGUUCCUGGGUUCAUACCCCAGUGGAGCCA